CUCUGCUGCUGUAAAUCACCAUACAGUCUACUCAGCUGUCGCAGCGUACACGGAGCAGGUACAAGUCGUGGCGACUUGCUGUCGCUGUAAGUCCACAGAUAAAUAUCCUGUAGUGGCAUGAAUGCAGGCUUUCAGAAAGGUCAUGCUUUGCUUCGGGGGAAGAGCGGCGGCUGUUCCAGAGAAUAAAAGCCACCUCGAAGCCCGGUGCUUCUCUAUCACAGAAGCUGUGAUAAUGUAUUAAGGACGUUUCUAAGAAUGCGAUGAAGAGAUUGAUGUUAGAAAUUUCUGUGGCAGAAGGCCCAGCCAUCCCCGCUCUCUCCGUUUAAAACAGAGUGCACGAGUAGUUACAGAAAUAAAUGGAAUGGAUUUUACAUCUGGAGCUAAAGGCUGGGGUCCACGUUGGUUAAGCCUUCCCUACCUUCAACACAGAUGCUAUCACAAAGAUGGAUUCACAGUCAAGGUGGACUUCGAUUCCAGAAUUCAGUUUUUCCUUUAGCUCUCUGCAAGAUUUCAUGUUGGCCGACUGCCUGAAGAUGCCUUUUGUGAGGGGGCCUUUUUGGUUAAGGAAGGAAAGCAUAUCCUGCAAGGAAGCGGAGGAAAUA
rnacentral:lncRNA from 1 species